rnacentral:rRNA from 1 species
CAGUAGCCGCGGGAAUACGUAGGUGGCAAGCGUUGUCCGGAAUUAUUGAGCGUAAGGCGCGCGCAGGUGGUUUAAUAAGUCUGAUGUGAAAGCCCACGGCUCAACCGUGGAGGGUCAUUGGAAACUGUUAAACUUGAGUGCAGGAGAGAAAAGUGGAAUUCCUAGUGUAGCAGUGAAGUGCGUAGAGAUUAGGAGGAACACCAGUAGCGAAGGCGGCUUUUUGGCCUGUAACUGACACUGAGGCGCGAAAGCGUGGGGAGCAAACAGGAUUAGAGACCCCAGUAGUCCCUGUCUCUUAUAC